CCUCAUAAGCAAUAUGAGGAACCCGGGAAGAAGUACAAGAUAGCUACAAAAGGUACUACAUAAACAUAAAAAUAUUAUUCAAGUAUCUUCUACGGGAUGAUAUAAUGUGGUUGCUUUUUUUCAUAGAUGGAAAUGAUGCGCCAACAAAUACACCAAUCUUGUUUUUUACAAAAUGGGAUGCAGAUGAUUCCAAAAGACUGAUGGUCCACCAUAAUAUAUAGAAGCAACAGGAGGGAUAGCUGAUGAAGAAUGAUAUCCAUUCAAACAAUGGUGGUGUUCCUCAAGUGAAGAUUAAUAAUAUUUUCUUUUCUAGUUGUCUCAUUUUCCAGAUAGAUAUUAUCAAGUACAUUGGUUAUAUAAGGAAUGAUUUUGACUCCAUUUCUUAAAUGAUAUUUUAAUUCCAGAAUUGUAUGUCGGAAUAUUGGUAUGUCUAUUAAUAAAAGUGGCUAUGAUCUUUUCAAUUCA